rnacentral:rRNA from 1 species
UGGGGAAUAUUGGACAAUGGGCGCAAGCCUGAUCCAGCCAUGCCGCGUGAGUGAUGAAGGCCCUAGGGUUGUAAAGCUCUUUCACCGGUGACGAUAAUGACGGUAGCCGGAGAAGAAGCCCCCGGCUAACUUCGUGCCAGCAGCCGCGGUAAUACGAAGGGGGCUAGCGUUGUUCGGAAUUACUGGGCGUAAAGCGCACGUAGGCGGAUAUUUAAGUCAGGGGUGAAAUCCCGGGGCUCAACCCCGGAACGGCCUUUGAUACUGGAUGUCUUGAGUCCGGAAGAGGUGAGUGGAAUUGCGAGUGUAGAGGUGAAAUUCGUAGAUAUUCGCAGGAACACCAGUGGCGAAGGCGGCUCANUGUCCGGAACUGACGCUGAGGUNCGAAAGCGUGGGGAGCAAANAGGAUUAGAUACCCCUGGUAGUCCACGCCGUAAACGAUGGAAGNUAGCCGUUGGGCGAUUUAUCGCUCGGUGGCGCAGUUAACGCAUUAAGCUUCCCG